rnacentral:rRNA from 1 species
GAUGAACGCUGGCGGCGUGCCUAAUACAUGCAAGUCGAGCGAACAGACGAGGAGCUUGCUCCUUUGACGUUAGCGGCGGACGGGUGAGUAACACGUAGGUAACCUACCUAUAAGACUGGGAUAACUUCGGGAAACCGGAGCUAAUACCGGAUAAUAUUCCGAACCGCAUGGUUCGAUAGAGAAAGAUGGCUGUGCUAUCACGUAUAGAUGGACCUGCGCCGUAUUAGCUAGUUGGUAAGGUAACGGCUUACCAAGGCAACGAUACGUAGCCGACCUGAGAGGGUGAUCGGCCACACUGGAACUGAGACACGGUCCAUACUCCUACGGGAGGCAGCAGUAGGGAAUCUUCCGCAAUGGGCGAAAGCCUGACGGAGCAACGCCGCGUGAGUGAUGAAGGUCUUCGGAUCGUAAAGCUCUGUUAUUAGGGAAGAACAAACGUGUAAGUAACUGUGCACGUCUUGACGGUACCUAAUCAGAAAGCAACGGCUAACUACGUG